CUGAAAAGGCGGAGCCGCAGCGAAAGCGAGUCUGAAUAGGGCGCAUAAGUAGGUGGUCGUAGACCCGAAACCGUGUGAUCUACCCAUGUCCAGGGUGAAGGUCAGGUAACACUGACUGGAGGCCCGAACCCACGUAUGUUGAAAAAUGCGGGGAUGAGGUGUGGGUAGGGGUGAAAUGCCAAUCGAACACGGAGAUAGCUGGUUCUCUCCGAAAUAGCUUUAGGGCUAGCCUCAAGGCCUGUAUGUUGGAGGUAGAGCACUGAUUGGACUAGGGGCCCUUACCGGGUUACCGAAUUCAGUCAAACUCCGAAUGCCAACCAUAUAACCUUGGGAGUCAGACUAUGGGUGAUAAGGUUCAUAGUCGAGAGGGAAACAACCCAGACCGUCAGCUAAGGUCCCAAAGUAUACGUUAAGUGGAAAAGGAUGUGGCGUUGCAUAGACAACCAGGAUGUUGGCUUAGAAGCAGCCAUCAUUUAAAGAGUGCGUAAUAGCUCACUGGUCGAGUGACGCUGCGCCGAAAAUGUACCGGGGCUAAACGUAUCACCGAAGCUACGGAUUGUUCUUACGAACAAUGGUAGGAGAGCGUUCUAAGUGCAGUAAAGUCAGACCGUGAGGACUGGUGGAGCGCUUAGAAGUGAGAAUGCCGGUAUGAGUAGCGAAAAAGAAGUGAGAAUCUUCUUCACCGAAUGCCUAAGGUUUCCUGAGGAAGGCUCGUCCUCUCAGGGUUAGUCGGGACCUAAGCCGAGGCCGAAAGGCGUAGGCGAUGGACAACAGGUUGAUAUUCCUGUACCACCUCCUUUCCGUUUGAACGACGGGGGGACGCAGUAGGAUAAGGAAAGCGCGCUGUUGGUUAUGCGCGUCCAAGCAGUAAGUGAGUCAGAUAGGCAAAUCCGUCUGGCACAAUCACAAGCUGUGAUGGGGAAGGAAAUAGAGUACUGAAGUUCCUGAUUUCACACUGCCAAGAAAAGCCUCUAGUGAGGAAAGAGGUGCCCGUACCGCAAACCGACACAGGUAGGCGAGAUGAGAAUUCUAAGGUGAGCGGGAGAACUCUCGUUAAGGAACUCGGCAAAAUGACCCCGUAACUUCGGGAGAAGGGGUGCUUCUUGCAUGAGAAGCCGCAGUGAAAAGGCCCAAGCGACUGUUUAGCAAAAACACAGGUCUCUGCGAAGCCGAAAGGCGAAGUAUAGGGGCUGACACCUGCCCGGUGCUGGAAGGUUAAGGGGACGCGUUAGCAUCUGCGAAGCGCUGAACCGAAGCCCCAGUAAACGGCGGCCGUAACUAUAACGGUCCUAAGGUAGCGAAAUUCCUUGUCGGGUAAGUUCCGACCCGCACGAAAGGUGCAACGACUUGGGCACUGUCUCAACGAGAGACCCGGUGAAAUUAUACUAUGCGUGAAAAUGCGCAUUACCCGCGACAGGACGGAAAGACCCCGUGGAGCUUUACUGUAGCCUGAUAUUGAAUGUUGGCACAAUUUGUACAGGAUAGGUGGGAGCCUUCGAAGCGUGAGCGCUAGCUUACGUGGAGGCGCCGGUGGGAUACCACCCUGAUUGUGUUGACCUUCUAACCCAGGACCGUGAUCCGGUUCGGAGACAGUGUCAGGCGGGCAGUUUGACUGGGGCGGUCGCCUCCCAAAGAGUAACGGAGGCGCCCAAAGGUUCCCUCAGAAUGGUUGGAAAUCAUUCGAAGAGUGUAAAGGCAGAAGGGAGCUUGACUGCGAGACCUACAAGUCGAGCAGGGACGAAAGUCGGGCUUAGUGAUCCGGCGGUACCGUAUGGAAGGGCCGUCGCUCAACGGAUAAAAGCUACCCCGGGGAUAACAGGCUUAUCUCCCCCAAGAGUCCACAUCGACGGGGAGGUUUGGCACCUCGAUGUCGGCUCAUCGCAUCCUGGGGCUGUAGUCGGUCCCAAGGGUUGGGCUGUUCGCCCAUUAAAGCGGUACGCGAGCUGGGUUCAGAACGUCGUGAGACAGUUCGGUCCCUAUCCGUCGUGGGCGUUGGAAGUUUGAGAGGAGCUGUCCUUAGUACGAGAGGACCGGGAUGGACAUACCGCUGGUGCACCAGUUGUUCUACCAAGAGCAUAGCUGGGUAGCUACGUGUGGCAGGGAUAAGUGCUGAAAGCAUCUAAGCAUGAAGCCCCCCUCAAGAUGAGACUUCCCAUCUUUAUGAGUAAGAUCCCUCAGAGACGAUGAGGUAGAUAGGUUCGAGGUGGAAGCGUGGCAACACGUGCAGCUGACGAAUACUAAUCGAUCGAGGACUUAACUAA
rnacentral:rRNA from 1 species